GCAUAUCAAUUAAGCGGAGGAAAAGAAACCAACAGGGAUUGCCUCAGUAACGGCGAGUGAAGCGGCAAAAGCUCAAAUUUGAAAUCUAGCACCUUCGGUGUUCGAGUUGUAAUUUGAAGAUGGUAACCUUGGGUUUGGCUCUUGUCUAUGUUCCUUGGAACAGGACGUCAUAGAGGGUGAGAAUCCCGUCUGAUGAGAUGCCCAUUCCUAUGUAAGGUGCUAUCGAAGAGUCGAGUUGUUUGGGAAUGCAGCUCUAAGUGGGUGGUAAAUUCCAUCUAAAGCUAAAUAUUGGCGAGAGACCGAUAGCGAACAAGUACAGUGAUGGAAAGAUGAAAAGAACUUUGAAAAGAGAGUGAAAAAGUACGUGAAAUUGUUGAAAGGGAAGGGCAUUAGAUCAGACUUGGUGUUUUACGAUUAUCUUCUCUUCUUGAGUUGUGCACUCGUAUUUCACUGGGCCAGCAUCGAUUCGGAUGGCAAGAUAAUGGCAGUUGAAUGUGGCUUCACUUCGGUGGAGUGUUAUAGCUUCUGCUGAUAUUGCCUGUCUGGAUCGAGGGCUGCGUCUUUUGACUAGGAUGCUGGCGUAAUGAUCUAAUGCCGCCCGUCUG
rnacentral:rRNA from 1 species